UGCUAGGUACUCGAGUGGCGAACGGGUGAGUAACACGUGGGUGAUCUGCCUCGUACUUCGGGAUAAGCCUGGGAAACUGGGUCUAAUACUGGAUAGGACCAUGCUUUAGUGUGUGUGGUGGAAAGUUUUUUCGGUACGAGAUGAGCCCGCGGCCUAUCAGCUUGUUGGUGGGGUAAUGGCCUACCAAGGCGUCGACGGGUAGCCGGCCUGAGAGGGUGGACGGCCACAUUGGGACUGAGAUACGGCCCAGACUCCUACGGGAGGCAGCAGUGGGGAAUAUUGCACAAUGGGCGCAAGCCUGAUGCAGCGACGCCGCGUGGGGGAUGACGGCCUUCGGGUUGUAAACCUCUUUCGCUAGGGACGAAGCUUUUGUGACGGUACCUAGAUAAGAAGCACCGGCUAACUACGUGCCAGCAGCCGCGGUAAUACGUAGGGUGCGAGCGUUGUCCGGAAUUACUGGGCGUAAAGAGCUCGUAGGUGGUUUGUCGCGUCGUCUGUGAAAUUCCGGGGCUUAACUUCGGGCGUGCAGGCGAUACGGGCAUAACUUGAGUGCUGUAGGGGAGACUGGAAUUCCUGGUGUAGCGGUGGAAUGCGCAGAUAUCAUGAGGAACACCGAUGGCGAAGGCAGGUCUCUGGGCAGUAACUGACGCUGAGGAGCGAAAGCAUGGGGAGCGAACAGGAUUAGAUACCCUGGUAGUCCAUGCCGUAACGGUGGGCGCUAGGUGUGAGGGUCUUCCACGACUUUCGUGCCGUAGCUAACGCAUUAAGCGCCCCGCCUGGGGAGUACGGCCGCAAGGCUAAAACUCAAGGAAUUGACGGGGGCCCGCACAAGCGGCGGAGCAUGGUGGAUUACUUCGAUGCACGCGA
rnacentral:rRNA from 1 species